rnacentral:rRNA from 1 species
AGCUGAUCACUGGGCGUAAAGCGUGCGCAGGCGGUCUUGUAAGACAGAGGUGAAAUCCCCGGGCUCAACCUGGGAACUGCCUUUGUGACUGCAAGGCUGGAGUGCGGCAGAGGGGGAUGGAAUUCCGCGUGUAGCAGUGAAAUGCGUAGAUAUGCGGAGGAACACCGAUGGCGAAGGCAAUCCCCUGGGCCUGCACUGACGCUCAUGCACGAAAGCGUGGGGAGCAAACA